GAACAGGAUAUCUCUCUGCAGCGGGGGAACAGUAAAGGGGAGGAUGUUUGGACGAAAUGGCGGGACAGAGAGAAAGAGCCGAUAUGGAGAAUUGGCAAAAUAGAUUCAUUAGCACGACGUCACCGCAGCUGCGGCCGUGGCGAAACCUCCGGUCCUGUAUUCUCGGGAUUAUCAAGACAUCGUCCUUGCUGGAGUCAGUGCCAGAGAAACGCCGCGGACAAACUGAAGAAGAAAAUUGCGACCACUUAACAUUCCUUUCUCAGCGAUAAAUUCGGGGGAACGAUGUGUCGUCUUUAUUUCUCGUUCAAGAUUAAUUCAAGGGCGAAUUGGAUAACUGGGGCAGCUGAAUUGAUUGUUUCCAAGAAAUAUUAAGUUCCAAUUGAUGAUCUUAGAAAGAUCUGAAGCUGAACUUUCGAACGAAAGCAAAAUGAUACAACGAUAUCACCGAUGAGUCUCAAGAAAGGAGCAACCAAGCAUACGUAGAAGAGAGCUGCGUGCACGCGCUACGGCCGCGACUCCCGAUGAGAUUGCACACAAUGCCUGGGUCUUUUCCCGCUUGCUGUGCCGAUGAUGGUCGUCGGCACAGAUCCGCUUUAAGUGAUUACUGCAUUUCCAUACGCGGCCAGAACGCCGAAGAACGGAAACAAUGUAUCCCGGAACAAGCGGCUUGGAUAUCGCGCAUUGUGUUCCGGAUAUCGCGGCGAUUCGCUAAACAAAACGGCCACUGGUUCGCCUCCGGUUCUCCUACCCUGUCUCCCUCGCUCUCCCCCAGUUACUCCUCUCUCCGUUAAACGAACGACGCAACCCUCCCGGAGCUCCGACGGACUCGGUGCGGCUGUUCCUUCCAGCAUACCCGCUGCCGUCCGCCAACCGCGAAGAACCGAAUGGCAUUCGCUAAUGCGUGGAAAUAACAACGGCGAUGCGAUGCGCUUUCACGUCGGUGGCCCGUAAUGAGCCACGCGAUUCGGAAUCGCAUGUAAGAAUGCGAGGAUCGGUAGAAAGGCGAGACUGAGUAUGCAACGUGCAGAUCGCAAGCGUGACUGUGUCGUGCUCAACUCGGCAAACUAUAUGCAAUUACGGAAUCAUGGUCGAUGCAAUUUUUCAAUAUUCCGCAUACGUGUGAUUUUAUAAUUGGCAGUUCUUGCGUGAUACACAGCAUGAAAUUAUGCACAAAUUAUUUCUGAUUGCGUCAGAA